GACAAGUGCUCCUGCCCCGACUCUGAGUAGCCAUAGUUCAAACCUUUACCUGCACAGAUCCUGUGGCUGCAGGCAGGAGGCCAGCAUCCACAGAGGGCUGCUCGCGGACGUCACUUUGGUCCACAAUAGCCUUCGCGUGACAAAAACUUCCUGGAAGAUCCAGUGACUCUUCAACGGCAAGCAUCAAGAGGUCGUUUGCACCCUGAGAGUCUUUGAAUCCCUGCCUCAACCUUCUCCCCUUGCUGGUCCUAACUAAUCCUGGACAGUGGUGCUCCCGUCGGUCUGCGGUCCUGGCGCAGCCCCUACUAUGCAAAGCCUGCCUUGAACCGAACAUCUCAAUAAAUUCUGACCUUGCCUUCCUCUGA